UACGGGGGGAGCAAGCGUUGUUCGGAAUUACUGGGCGUAAAGGGUGUCUAGGCGGCCUUGUAGUACGGGGUGGAAAUCCACUGGCUCAACCAGUGACGUGCCUUCGAAACUGCUAGGCUUGAGUAUGGCAGAGGAGAGCGGAAUUCCAGGUGUAGCGGUGAAAUGCGUAGAUAUCUGGAAGAACACCGGUGGCGUAGGUGGCUCUCUGGGCCAAUACUGACGCUGAAGCACGAAAGCCAGGGGAGCAAACGGG
rnacentral:rRNA from 1 species